CGAUGCAUAGCCGACCUGAGAGGGUGAUCGGCCACACUGGGACUGAGACACGGCCCAGACUCCUACGGGAGGCAGCAGUAGGGAAUCUUCCGCAAUGGACGAAAGUCUGACGGAGCAACGCCGCGUGGAUGAAGAAGGUUUUCGGAUCGUAAAGUACUGUUGUUAGAGAAGAACAAGGAUAAGAGUAACUGCUUGUCCCUUGACGGUAUCUAACCAGAAAGCCACGGCUAACUACGGUCCAGCAGCCGCGGUAAU
rnacentral:rRNA from 1 species